rfam:Mus musculus chromosome 10, GRC primary reference assembly.
GGGGGAGGAAGUACAUCAGCGGAGCUACCAUGAGCUGAGUGCUCUCAGCCCCUGGGAAAGUCUGAGAAUGGGGCCUCCCUUGGCCCUAAUGGGGCUCUCCCCGAACAGGGAUGUGACUUCCCAGAAAGCAGGGCAUGGGCAUGCAUGGGCAGACUGGGCAGGAUAGCCUCGAGUAGGUGGAUUCCUCCCUCACUGGAGCUUGGAACAUACUCAUGGCCAGCAGGGCAAGUUCAAUGGCUGAGAUGAGGCACCUCGAGGGCCUCAAAACCCAACUUGUUCCUUGGCC